rnacentral:rRNA from 1 species
UUGAACGCUGGCGGCAGGCCUAACACAUGCAAGUCGAGCGGAUGAAGGGAGCUUGCUCCUGGAUUCAGCGGCGGACGGGUGAGUAAUGCCUAGGAAUCUGCCUGGUAGUGGGGGAUAACGUCCGGAAACGGGCGCUAAUACCGCAUACGUCCUGAGGGAGAAAGUGGGGGAUCUUCGGACCUCACGCUAUCAGAUGAGCCUAGGUCGGAUUAGCUAGUUGGUGGGGUAAAGGCCUACCAAGGCGACGAUCCGUAACUGGUCUGAGAGGAUGAUCAGUCACACUGGAACUGAGACACGGUCCAGACUCCUACGGGAGGCAGCAGUGGGGAAUAUUGGACAAAGGGCGAAAGCCUGAUCCAGCCAUGCCGCGUGUGUGAAGAAGGUCUUCGGAUUGUAAAGCACUUUAAGUUGGGAGGAAGGGCAGUAAGUUAAUACCUUGCUGUUUUGACGUUACCAACAGAAUAGGCACCGGCUAACUUCGUG